GGCGCUCCUCUCGUUACGUGCAUUAAUAGCCUCCUCGCUGCGCCGGCUGACACAGCCCAGCAGCUGUCUGCGGCCGCCCCGCUCUCCCUGGGCAGCGCGGGGCUGACAUUUGCAAACGCUCAGAUGUGCCAGGAUUUCGGGAGACCUCGCGAAUCACCCGCCGCGCUCGGUCCGGAGCAGGAUGGACCAGAGCAAACCCCUGAAGGUCCGGCUGACGUUCUCCGUGAUCCUGGUUGGCGUCUCGCUCCUGUUUGCAGCCGUAGUGACUGACCACUGGGCCGUGCUGAGCCCCAGAGUGGAGGAAUAUAAUGCCACCUGCGAAGCGGCUCAUUUCGGGCUAUGGCGACUCUGUAUAAAGCGGAUCUUUAUGCAGGAGCAAGGUCCCAAAGUGAAGGGCUGUGGGCCGAUAAGCCUGCCAGGAGAACACAACUGCUCCUACUUCAAGCACUUCACACCAGGACAGAGCUCGGAGAUAUUUGAAGUAACCACCCAGAAAGAAUACAGCAUUUCAGCUGCAGCCAUUGCCAUCUUCAGCAUCGGCUUUGCAAUCAUCGGAACAAUCUGCGUCCUCUUAUCCUUCACGAAGAAGAGGGACUAUCUGCUGAAGCCAGCAUCCAUGUUCUACACCUUCGCAGGUCUCUGCAUCAUCAUCUCUGUGGAAGUCAUGAGACAAUCUGUGAAGAGGAUGAUCGACAGCGAGGAGACAGUCUGGAUUGAGUACAGUUACUCCUGGUCCUUCGCCUGUGCCUGCGCCUCCUUUGUCCUGCUCUUCAUCUGCGGCAUCACCCUCCUCCUCAUCGCACUGCCUCGCUUCCCCCAGAACCCCUGGGAGACCUGCAUGGAUGCAGAACCCGAGCACUGAUGUUCCCAGCACCCGUGAAAGAAAACAGAAAGCAUUUCGAAAAGAUUUGUAUUUUUCAAAAUGUCUGGGUCUCACUAUACAACGUGCACUCCAUUAACUAAGCCGUUAUUGAACCAAGGCAUGUUCAAUUGUAAUUAUUGCUUUGUUUCUUUUAUUUUUUCCCCUCUUCCCCUUCCUCUUUUUUUUUUAAGACAGCAGAAAGAGCGUUCAGCCCCAUCGUGGGUGAGUGGCACUGCUCUGUGCCCAUCUGGGGAUGCCUUGGACUGAUGCGGUUGGGGGAAAAUCUGGAUGUGAGACAGCUCGUGCCAUGGAGAAGACAGCUUUCUUAGGGAGGAGAUGUUUGGUGGAGUUAGGGUUAAAGAGCAGAUCCGUGAAGGAUGUCAGGCUUUUACACCUCACUUGGUCAGAGAGAGACAGCAAGAAAUUCUAGCUCCAGGGGGAGUCUGUUUCCCCAUUCAUGCCAUACUCCUCUACCUCCCCAAAGAAGGGUUAGCUCACCACUCUGGAAUAAAUUGGAGAUCCUUAUGCUGUUCUAAUAAACUAUUAAAAUUAAAAAUAAAUUAAAAAAAUACUUUGCCUAGCAUUGGGAUGAAAGUUUCUCCUACAAAUUUACACCCUGCAGUUCCAGUCUAUUGAAUUAAGCACAAAAACCCCACAAGAUACAGUUUCUGUUCUGCUUAAACUUUGAUGGCAAAGCCAAGAAGUACUGAACAUUGAGUGAUAUUUUCCUUUAAUAAAAAGCAUAAUCUUCCAGU